AUGACACCCGUGAGUGGGGAGGGAAUGAUCAUUAUUACAGGUACAGUUGGUGACUUGUUGGUGACUUGUGAUCCUGUCGGUGACUUGGUUCCUCAGAAUGGGUUCAGAUGACAGUUUAUCAGAUGACUUUGGGUUUCAGAUGAAUUGUGGUUCCGAGUUUAAGCUGAAGCUUUGAUCCUGUGUUCCGAGAUGCAUAGCCUGCCAGUCUUGUCUGCAUCAUUUGCAUCAUAGCAGGUUUAUUUUCAAAAAGACACGCAACAAAAAGAUAAAAAAGAAAAAAAAGAAAAAGCUAAUCCCUGCAUGCAUAUCAUUUCUCAGGUACAUUCCAGAGUCUAUUCACUGAUAGAGAUGGCAACAGUCCCAGAGUUGAAGCGGAAGACUUGUUCCUACAGCUUUCAU
rnacentral:lncRNA from 1 species